UACAGGGGGUGCAAACGUUGCUCGGAAUUACUGGGCGUAAAGGGCGCGUAGGCGGCCUCUGCAAGUCGACUGUGAAAUCUCCGGGCUUAACCCGGAAAGGUCAGCCGAUACUGCAGGGCUAGAGUGCAGAAGGGGCAACUGGAAUUCUCGGUGUAGCGGUGAAAUGCGUAGAUAUCGAGGAAGAACCACCGUGGCGAAGGCGGCGUCUCUGGUACGUGACUGACGCUGAAGACGCGGAAAGCGUGGGGGAGCAAACAGG
rnacentral:rRNA from 1 species